GACGAACGCUGGCGGCGUGCUUAACACAUGCAAGUCGAACGGAGUGCCCAUGACAGAGGUUUCGGCCAAUGGAUUGGGUUACUUAGUGGCGGACUGGUGAGUAACGCGUGAGGAACCUGCCUUUCAGAGGGGGACAACAGUUGGAAACGACUGCUAAUGCCGCAUGACAUAUAUUAAGGGCAUCCUUGAUAUAUCAAAGAUUUUAUCGCUGAAAGAUGGCCUCGCGUCCGAUUAGAUAGUUGGCGGGUAACGGCCCACCAAGUCGACGAUCGGUAGCCGGACUGAGAGGUUGACCGGCCACAUUGGGACUGAGACACGGCCCAAACUCCUACGGGAGGCAGCAGUGGGGAAUAUUGCACAAUGGGGGAAACCCUGAUGCAGCGACGCCGCGUGAGCGAAGAAGUAUUUCGGUAUGUAAAGCUCUAUCAGCAGGGAAGAUAAUGACGGUACCUGACUAAGAAGCACCGGCUAAAUACGUAGCCAGCAGCCGACGG
rnacentral:rRNA from 1 species